CCUUGGAGUUCCUUGGCCUCCUUGCUUCCUCCUUAGAGUUCUCCUAACUCUAGAGUGAAUAUCACUAUUAUUGAGUGAUUUCUGAAUGAAUAAUAGUGGAGGAAGGAGGCUCUAUUUAUAGUUUUUCAGCUGGGUUUAGGCUUUCUCUGCGCAUCCAUCGCACCCAUCGUGGCCACGAUGGCGUGUAUUUUCGCCUCAUCGUGGCCACGAUGGAUCCUAUCGUG
rnacentral:lncRNA from 1 species